rnacentral:lncRNA from 1 species
UGGAGGGUGGCAGGAAUUGUCCUUUAUUUCAAAGCAUGAGAGGCUGGUGUGAUUAAUCCUGAGGUCACAGGGCUAUAGUUAGGGUAUUCUGUCAUAGUUUAGUUGGCAGGAUCUUUUUUUUGUUAGUAGUACAUAAAAUAAUGGCUUAUCUUAUAAUUAAAUGUGUCUUAGUGUAGAUGAUAUAUGAUAACUCACAUCCUAGAACUCUCUAAACAUCUUUCAGAGAAACACAGAAUGUCAGAACUAUGAGAACCAAUUCCCUCCUUUAGCAAAUGAGGAAAGUGAAUCCUAAGAGGUGGGUGGCUAGCCCAGGAUUACAUUCAGAGCAUGUUUGAGGCAGAGGAAAUUUAUUUACUACAGGGGAAAUAAAUUGUCUUGCCUCAUGGCAAAAGGAGUAAGAAAAGAUAAAAAUUACAUAAUGGCUUGAUGGCUCAGACUGACAUCAAAAAAACCGUAUUACUGCUUUUUUUUUUCUGUUGGAAGGACAAUAAAGAGCUUUAAUAUCUACUAAUCUUUGACAACAUGCUUCUGAUUUGUAUCCAUCAUCCAGAUCUAUUUAAUCUCCUUAAUCACCGGCCUUGCUGCCUUUAUGGUUUAAAUAUUUCAUUGAGCAUACUCUCUCAGUGUACCUUUUUAUUUCUCCCAUGACAUUUUAAAGACACACGAGACAGUUUUAAAAGAGAUAUAGAGAGUAAUUUAUUAUUUGAUGUGAUUUUCUUUCAAUACCUAAAAAAACAAAUUCCCUCCCUGUUAGUCCUCCCCUGGAGCUAGGAUAGUUGAGGAAUGCAGGUGUCCAGACUUGAAAGAGGAGGAUUAAAUCGGCAACAGAGGUGACAUUCACCCUGUCCAAUUGAUGAAGCCACGAUGGAAUAGCUAGAGACAGACUUAUCUCUUUCUACACCAUUCUUUUUGGUCCAUGCUAUCAUAGAAACAUUCUAUUGAUUUGCCAUCUGCGGCUCCUAAUAUUAGUAAGAAAAUACAGUAAAGGGUGUGAAAAUGAAGAUGAAAGAUAUUUAAUUUUCUAGUUUUGCAGUGGAAAGCUGCAGACUCUUGUAGUGAGAUUUUUAUGGCAAGCAGUUGAAGCUCAUCCUCCUAGGUUUGGUAUUUUAACUGAAUAAGCCUCAUAUUUGUGGGUUUAUUUUUUUCCUUAGUUAUCAGAGCUGCUACUUUUUCUACUCUUCCUAAAUAAUGGCAUUCUGGUCACCGGCCACAUCAGGCAUAUAAAGUAUUCCCUAUUUAUAUAUGAAUUUCUCUAGAGACAUUAGAAGGAUGUAAACAACACUAUGCGAGAGGCUGUUUGUUUCUUCGGCUCCUUUUAUCUACAGUAUGAAUGCAGUGUCCCCCCACAUGCAUAUGUUAGAGCCUAAUACUCAGUGUAAUAGUAUUAAGAGGCGGUACCUUUGGGAAGUGAUUAACUCAUGAGGGCUCCACCUGAAUGAAUAGGAUUAGUGCCCUUAUAAAAGAGGCUUGAGGGUGCUUUCUUGCUCCUUCUGUCUUGUAAGGACUCACAGAAGGCACCAUCUAUGAAGAACCGGCUCUCACUAGAUGCUGAGUCUGCUGGCACCUUGAUCUUGGACUACCCAGUCUCCAGAACUAUUAGCAGAGAAGCUGGCACACUUUGUCUUGGAGCUAAAUACUCCCCGGCUCAAGAGUUAGAAAAGCUGAAGGAAGAUCCAGGAGGAGGUGGAGAAGCUAACUGCAGGACUGGCUGCUGCCCCAUGCCAAGGAGAUGAAGCAGCAGAUAAGUGAUAUCACGUACACGUGAGCUGCAUUGGUGCCUAGUGCUCCUGCACCAACCCUUUGCAUGUCAAAACAUUCUGGGUGCUGCUUCACUUCCACCUUGCAGAACUCACACAAAAUGUCUCUUACGGUUUACCCCAGCCAGAAACAUAUGAGGAAGAGCAGUCUGGGAAAUAGCCAUUUUAACCAAGUUAACAAAUUACAAACCACUAUAAUCACAUUCCCAAUUAGCAAUUGUAAUCAAGUUAUUUAAAAUUUUAGUGAAAAUAUUUAAAAUUUCUAAUUAAAUUAUUAAAUUUCAGUUUCCCUGUGUAUCUGGUCUCAAGUAAUGGUGCAUCGCUAAGUUUCUAAAGCUAGGUACCUAGAUUUCUUCCUCUUCAUCUUUAUCAUUAGUCACGCACCAAACAUAUUUAGGUUCUCAAUGUGUUUCUAAUGUCUGUCUUUUAGCAGAGAGCUAGCUAGUUAAGGCUUUCAUUAUCUUUUGCCUUAUUGCUGUCACUGCAUCACCAGCCUCCCUGCCUCUCCUUUUGUCCUGCUUAAAUCCAUCCCCUUUCUAUGGCUGGAAUAAGCUGCCUCAAACAUAAAUUAACCUGCAAUAUGCUUUCUCCAUUUACUUCUCCAGAAAGUUAUGAUUGACAGUGGAGACUGGGAGUAGGGGGAUAUUGUGUAAGGUUAUGAGUAGCUUCCUUGCUUUUUCUGUAGUUCCUUGUGUUUUUUAAUUGUGGUAAAAUAUAAUAGCAUAGGCCAGGCACAGUGGCUCAUUCCUGUAAUCCCAGCAGUUUGGGAGGCCGAGGCGGGCGGAUUAUGAGGUCAAGAAUUGGAGACCAUCCUGGCCAACACGGUGAAAUCCC